AGACGAACCGUCCAAACGUUAUUCGGAAUCACUGGGCUUAAAGGGUGCGUAGGCGGCAUAGUAAGUUGGGUGUGAAAUCCCACGGCUCAACCGUGGAACUGCGCUCAAUACUGCUAUGCUUGAGGGAGAUAGAGGUGAGCGGAACUAAUGGUGGAGCGGUGAAAUGCGUUGAUAUCAUUAGGAACACCAGUUGCGAAAGCGGCUUACUGGGCAGUGCCUGACGCUGAGGUGCGAGAGCGUGGGGAGCAAACUGGAUUAGAAACCCGAGUAGUCC
rnacentral:rRNA from 1 species